CCCCUAGAUGUUCUGGGCCGCACGCGCGCUACACUUAACAGUUCAACAAGUCUUAACCUUGGCCGAUAGGUCUGGGUAAUCUUUGAACGCUGUUCGUGAUUGGGAUAGACCUUUGCAAUUAUGGGUCUUCAACGAGGAAUUCCUAGUAAACGCAAGUCAUCAGCUUGCAUUGAUUACGUCCCUGCCCUUUGUACACACCGCCCGUCGCACCUACCGAUUGAAUGGUCCGGUGAAAUCUCGGGACGGCGGCUUGGUCGCUUGCGUCCGACUGCUGAAACUUGAUUAAACCAUAUCAUUUAGAGGAAGGUGAAGUCGUAACA
rnacentral:rRNA from 1 species